rnacentral:rRNA from 1 species
CCCUUAGAUGUUCUGGGCUGCACACGCGCUACACUGACGAAUGCAACGAGCUUAUAACCUUGGCCGAAAGGUCUGGGUAAUCUCCAAAUUUCGUCGUGAUGGGGAUAGAUUAUUGCAAUUAUUAAUCUUCAACGAGGAAUGCCUAGUAAGCGCAAGUCAUCAGCUUGCGUUGAUUACGUCCCUGCCCUUUGUACACACCGCCCGUCGCUCCUACCGAUUGAAUGGUCCGGUGAAAUCUCCGGACUGGCGUGAGUCGGAGUAAUCUGACAAACACCGGAAAGUUGAUUAAACCUUACCAUUUAGAGGAAGGUGAAGUCGUAACA